UUAAUAAGCGGAGGAAAAGAAACUAACAAGGAUUCCCUCAGUAACGGCGAGUGAAGCGGGAAGAGCUCAAAUUUGAAAUCUCCGAUGCCUGCAUCGGCGAGUUGUAGUUGCGAGAAGCACUUUCUAGGCGGAUCGGCGGUGCCUAAGUUGCUUGGAACAGCACGUCGCAGAGGGUGACAACCCCGUCUGUGGUGCCGGCGGCCGCCGACGAUGUGCUUUCGAAGAGUCGGGUUGUUUGGGAAUGCAGCCCAAAAGGGGUGGUAAACUCCAUCUAAAGCUAAAUACUGGCGUGAGACCGAUAGCGA
rnacentral:rRNA from 1 species